CUAAUUACCAAGGCCUGAGGACACAUGAAAACUAUUUUCUAAGUACCUCAGAAAAAUUUGCAAGCGUGUUUCCAAAAGUGAUUUAGGUACUUGAAAGCCUAAGUCUCCUGAAAGUCAACAGCGCUCUUAGAAGAGCAAGUCCCUUUCACAAACAAAGCCCUGGCACUUGAGGAAUGUCUAUUUCCAUUUGUUUCCAAGCUUGGACGUGACUCAGAGAAGAGUCGUGAAUGCAAUGAAAAUGGAGCAUCAAAGUCCUCUGUAUCAGACAAAGAGAGAAGCUUUGCACAAGGUGGUGCAAGCCCUCCUGGUGUCAGCACCAUGCAGAGCUUCUCCUCCAUCCCAGGCAACCUCGGGGCUCCUACGAGCCUCUCCCAAAGUUGCCCGCUAACACCAGACCACAAGAGGAAGCUAGGCUUCUGCAGCAGUGCAGAUGCCCGAGGAGCACGCAAAGCAACCCCUCAGGGAGAGGAAGAAAAUGAGAUGUUAAAGAAAACACCUGAAAAGUUGUCUAAAAGCAGAAAUAAGAAGUUCUUGACGACUUGAAAUGAGCCACACAGCUGGAAUCCACUGUCGCCAGCCAACCAGCAGAGCGAAGACCUUAUGGCACGGCUCAGACUGCGUAGGGAUGCUCCACAGUGCUCCCCAUCGGGCAGGGACCAACAGCUAAAGGUUCCAAGGAACAACCCAAAGCAAACACCAUCCACACCGACUGCCCUACGCAGGGCCACCAAGGACAACGGGUCAACCGGCAGUGGCCCUACCUGCUCCUGCAGUCACUUGAAUUCUUUCCUCCAGGUUUUACAGCGGAUCUGGAGCGAAAGGAGCAGCAGGAAGGGACUCACCUCCCACAUUUAACCUUUUCCAUAGGUUUUGGUGCAAGUUUCCAUAGGUUUUCCCUCCCUCCCUCCCCUCCUGCUGCCUGCGUGCCCAGCAGGCAGGGAUGCAGGCUGAAUGCUGGCAGCCCCCGCAGCGAGAAAGCUGGAGAAAUUCCUCGGGAACAUUUCCUCGUAACACUCUUUCCCCUCAUAAAAUAAGCAACUGUGCGUUUUUCCCCGAAACACGUCUCCCUCAAAUAAGGAGAUCCCGGUGCAUAUGCUAGAAUAAAUAUUAGCACGACCGUGAUCCCCGUGGCGAAACGCUUGGAACGGCUUUUGCACAAACACCUUCUUUUCCACCCUGCCAGGUCAUUGCCGCAGUUUUCCCGGUGAAGGUGCAACGCUACGAGCUGUCAGUGAUCCCAGCCCUACCUACCGAGCUGUCAUCACCUCCUAUUAGCACACUGCGCUCCAGUUUCUUCAGAAUGCUGCAGACAACCUGGGCUGAGAAGGGAGCGGAGGAGCUCAGGGGACCAGCGCCAGCCUCCUCGGCCCGGCUUCGAUGGAACAAAGCCAUGGGCACCUCGCUGCCCUGCUCUGUUUUAAGCCAUUCUCCGACCCUGUUGCCGUGAGGUACCUUCACCCACAGCCUCGAUUGCUAUCUGCUGCUUUGACUGUUUGUAGGAUGAUGAAGUCCUACGUGGCAUCCAUGUCCUGCACGUCCCGCGCUCGUGCUGCCAAAGAGAACAUCCAUUGCUUCAGACUGAGAAAUGGGCUUCCUGCCGCAAUUCAGGUCAGGAAUACACACAGCUUUAGUACUCGACCAGUUUUUCUCCAACUCCAUCCCUAGGCUGAUCUCCCUGGGGCUGACUUUAUGGAGAGCUGCCAUCAGCCUCCCCAAGGGGCUGAGCCAUGCCGAGCCCAGCCUUCAAAACCAACACCGCCAUCGGGGCUGCAGAGCCGGCACCAGCACCGCCUGCGCCAGAGAGAGCUCCCGGUGAUGGAUGAAGUGUCAGGGGAGGAACGGCCAAAAUACCGGAGGAAAAAAAACACAGCGGGCAGUUAUAGGUAGAUGAAAUGCAAACAGCUCCGUACGUCCGGAGCUGGGCUAUAGGCAGUUGUGUGUCAGUGAGCUCAAACCCAUCCACUAUUUUUUUUUUUUUUCAAUGUAUCUAUCGAGGCAUUGAGCUGGUGGUGGGCAGAGCUCCAGCUGCGCCGUGCUGCAGGCAUGGGAUGGCCAGCGGGGCAAGGGAAAGAAGCGGAAGCAAGUUUCCAUUCCAAGGAGCCGGCCAUCCCUCAGACGUUGCCAAGCUGAGAGAUGUGCUUCGUUCCCCAGCGAUGAGUCUGUUUGGAGGCACCCAGCUCUCCGUGUGCUCAAACAGGCCCAGGAGAGCCAGCUGGAGGCUGUUCAGUGCUCAUUACCGAAACCACAAGCAGCCACGUAUGCCAGCUUCAAAGCAAACCGGUACAAAAUGCAAAGGCAGCCGGCAGAGCUCUGCUGCUCUAUUAUAGCCUUGUUUAUCCCUCAAGCCCCUCCGGCCAGAUACUUAUCUCUGCUGGAGACAAGGAGAUGCUGGAAAACAAACCUGCAAGAAGAACCAACAGCCUUCCUCAAGGAUGCAGGGCUGAAAUUCCGGCUGCACCACAUGCAGCACCAGGACUCUGCGAGCCCACAUCCAUCCACGGCAGCGUCUGGGGGCUCGAGGUGCUCCCUCUCCCACAACACAGGGUAAUAUUAAACAACCAGACGCUGCAUGCAUGUUGUAACUGCCCCAUGAAAGAGGUUUUCCGCGGUACGGAUGGCUCUGGAUGCCUGAUUGUCUGCCUUUAUUCUCCACCCAGCUACAUCGCUUGCUCCGUUACCUCCAUUGCAAAACAGUGAUUCACUUUUUGCAGCCAUCCUGCACACACACCAGGCAGGGACGAGCUGAGGAUGUCACCACUGGCAAGCACAGUUGGCCUCCCCACCUCUAAUUCUAUGACAGGCACUGGCAUUUUGAUGUUUGUGUAGAUGCUGCACUGAAAUUCUACAGCUUUAGCAUUUAAUUUUGCUUUUCUUCUGCUUGGUGUGAACAACAGCUUUCACGAGCACGCUAAGGAAUAUCUCCUAUCCUACUGAGUUGCUUCACACCACAUUAAUAGACCAAAAAUAACGAAAAAAAGAGGGUUUGAUUAAGCCUUCGGUAUUAACACUGCCUUUGGGACUAGCAGAGUUAAUCUGGUUUCACUGGUAGCUUUACUCUCAUGUUGGAGCUCUGCAACUGCCCCAGCCACAGUGCGGGUUUGUAGUGGGUUUUCACCAACAGCAGCCUGAGCUGGAGGCAUCCCUGCCCAUGGGAUGGAACUGGGUGGGCUUCAAGGUCCCUUCCGACCCAACCAUUCUGUGAUUCCAUGACUCUAUGAGAUGCUGCUGUAGGAGCCAUCGGUGGGAAUGCUGCUGCUGCUACAGAGCCCCUGGGAAGUGCUGGAGAGGUGUAACCCUGAAAUCCAGGAGGGAUGAACACAGCCAUGUGCGGGAUCUGAGCGGUGCUGCUGCCCAGGGCUCGCCCACCCCGUGCGCAGCAGCCUCAGCGAAGCCUCGCAGCUUCAAAUCCAUUCAUAACGAUAAUUGGAGGAAAUCCUCACUUCCUGCCAAGAACAAAUAUUUUCCCUAGCAGACACCGAACGCUUCAGUAUGAGCUGGAGAGUUCCACUCACUCGGGUCAUUGCGCAGCCCCACCAGCCAUGAGCACGCGCACCUUUAUUCCCAGCUGCUCACCGUGCCCAUGGCUCCAUCCACGUACAGCAGAGCAGAGCUGCAGCCAUACACAGCUUCACUCGGUUUGGAAGUGGUGGCUGUCCCACGCAGCCCCUCUGGCAUCUCCUCCGCGUGGCAGGAGCCCCGAGGCUGCGCCGUGCCUCAAUCCAUCCCCAUGAAGGCAGGGGAAGGCAGGUGACUGCUAGCAUCCAAAAGAUCACCUGGCUUCCUCUCUUUAAAACCAGCCUCCAUCUCCCUGUGACCUUCUUGGCUCUGCCAGCACCCACCGAUGCCCCAGUGUGGGUGCGGGGCAGGACGUGCCAACAGGGGCACAAGGGUAAAUGUGAGCAGCAGCAAACAGCGAGCUGCCCAGGCCCUUGCUGGCAGAAAAGGAAGCUGUGGAAAACGGUUUGAGAAAGCGGAACAUUUUCCAAAUGAGUCAACGUGGCUUUGUCCAAUACUGUAUUUUGCACAGUCACGUACCGUCGAGGCUGCGUUUGCCAAAAAAUCAGUGCAAUGGAGCAAAAACCGACAAGGAGGGUGAUGGGCUCGCUUCUGCUCCUGGCACGGCCCUGAGGGUCCUUCCCCUGGGUGAAGCCACUGAGACCAUCAUGAAGCACGGCCCAUUCACUGCCUGGCUGGGACCAAGGGAUGUCCUUGCUGGGGACAGGACCUACAGUGGCACUUGUCUGCACAGGGGUUUGGCACCAUACAACAAGCAAGGUGGCACCUUGCUGUCACUGUUGGCUGUCCCCAGCAGCACGGCGCGAGGUGCUGCAGAUGAGGCACGCGCUGCUUUGUCGACGCAAUCUCUAUUUUGGGUGAAUUCUGAGCAUCUUUCUCUUGAAAAGCGAGCUGCCCUCCUGCUUGAUUCAGCUCUCUCUUCUGCAGUGCUCUCGGAGAGUUUUGCAGGAAAGAGAUUCCCUCGGAACUGUUCUGACCAUCACUUCUAAAACUUUGCAGUGAAGAAAUAUUUUUUACUAAAACACCCGUUGCCCAGGAGGCCGUCGCUGAGGUUCAGCCGUGCUGGGCUUGGCCACAGCUCCAGCUCCUCUUUCAUGCCCUGCCACGUGCUGCCCUGCUCCGCCAGCCCCACGCCGCCUCCCCGAGCACUGUCAGCAGCCCCUGCUACAAGACGUGAUGGAUGAAGCUUCUCAGGGGGACACGGGAGAGGAACCUGGCUGCUGCCUGCAGAUCCCAUCACCGCAUCAUUCAUCAGACAGGGAAAGGAUUGGCGAGCCCAGAAGCCCUUUGCAGGGCCGGGUUUUUCUGGUGUUUUUCUUUUCAAACAGCACAAGGAACUGCUUUUGGCCACCACCGCUGAGUCUGUCAGAGCAUGAGGAGUCCAGCAGUGGCCUGGCCCUUGUGCCAAGACACCAAGGAGUAGACACAGCUUCAAACAAGCGCAGAGAUGGUGACCUCCCCAGCCGUGGGACCUUCCUUUUCUUUUGCACCUUCGCAGACCUCAUUGCCAAAGCGUUUUUUUUUUUCUGCAAUCCUCUCUCUGCUGCAAAGACUUCAGCAAACAGGAACUCAGAUGGGUCUGUAGUGGACACGCUAAGUCACAGCCUGAAGCAGUGACUGAACACAUGGUGGGAAGGCAGGGCCAACCCAGGGGAGCUCAGGUGCAUGCAAUGUAGCUGAGUGAUCAGAAGGGCUGGAGCCAGGAUCCACCCCUUCCCAGACCUCAUUUAAGGGUUGGCAGUGGAGGUGAGGGUAUCUUGCUGGAGAUCUCUCCCUACCAGAGGCCUUCUAAAGUUUGGAGAGGAAAUGGGGCAGGGGACAGCCUGACUCCCACCCAUCACCAACAUCAACUUCCAGCUCCGGCUGAAGCUGAGUUUUAAUACAGAAAACUGCUAAGAACCUCCUGACCACAUUUCAAGGGGACCCUCUUGUGAGUAUGGGUGCCAACGUCUCCAUCCUGCGAAAGCACGUGGUCUUUGGAGAGGGUGAAGUCACCCCAUGAAUGGCACCGUGUGUCUACGGAGCCAGCGAGCGCUGUGAAUAGUCCCAUUGUGCAUGGCACGAACACACCAGCACCCCACCAGGACAGGCAGCUUCAGGAACAAGGUCUUUCCAACCCCCACCUCGCCACAGCCUCCUUUCAGUGAGCUGCAGAGAGCAAUAAGGUUUCCCCUGAGCCCCCUCCAGGAACAGCCCUCUGUUAUUGCAUCUGACUGCUGUUGUCACAGAGGUGUCAAAGCAUGUACCAGGAAGAUGUCCAUCUUUCCAGGGCACGUUGCCUUGGACGUGGGACCACCCUCUCCUUCAGGCCAGGGCUGUAUGCUGCAGGGAAAGCUGAACAAAUACACGCAUAAACGUUUCACUUGGAGGGAAAAAAAAACAAAAACCAACCAACAACAACUGUAAAAAGGAUAGCUGCGUUUGGGAAUGUGCUAACACAAAUUCACAUCUCGCAGUAACAGCCGUAUCAACAUCUUACAAAGCAGGAAGCAGAACGGGCAAGAGAUACCAAGAACCCAUUCUGCCAUUACCAAGGAUGAUUUCAAAUUCCGAUCCAGGGCUGCCGCGAUCGCUGCGACAGACGUGUUUUGUCUCCCUUGCUGCUCUCCAGAGCCUGUGUGAAGGGAAGCAAUCUGCUCGGCGCAUACGGCAACACCGGGGCCGGCCCCUGGCUCGGUGUUCCAUGGAUGAGUCAAACAGCACAGCCUGAAUCAACGUCAGUGCUGCCGU